ACUCCUACGGGAGGCAGCAGUGGGGAAUAUUGCACAAUGGGGGAAACCCUGAUGCAGCGACGCCGCGUGAAGGAAGAAGUAUUUCGGUAUGUAAACUUCUAUCAGCAGGAAGAAAUGACGGACC
rnacentral:rRNA from 1 species